GGAGAAAGGGGGCUGUGAAGCUGCGGCAUCUGUCACCCCACUGAUCGCCUGAGUUGAGUCAGCUGAUUUUGCUGGCCAGGCAAGUAUCCCCUUCCUCCCUUACUGCUCCAUGUGCAUCCCCUUCAGGAGCUUUGCCCUUGGUCAGAGAGGACAACCUUCCCUGAAUAGAAGACAGGUCUUUGGUCUAGGGUAUACAAGUAGCUGCAUUCCCCUGCGAGAACCUCCAAACAAGUUCUCAUUUAGAGGAGGUGCAUCCCUGGGGUGACAGGGGGCUUUGAGUUGCAUUUUACCCUAGCCUUUUAUUGAAU
rnacentral:sRNA from 1 species